ensembl:snRNA U6 U6 spliceosomal RNA
GUGCUCGCUUCGGCAGCGCGUAUACUGAAAUCGGAAGGAUACAGAGAACAUUAGCAUGGCCCCUGCAAGGAUGACACCCAAAUUCGUGAAGCAUGCCAUAUUUUU